CAGCCCUGGAGGAGAGGCCAGGAGCAGAAUCCAGCUGAGAACCCGCGAGGCCCAGGGAGCCCCCGACCCCAUGCUUCUGCAGCCAGUGUGUGAGCACUGGGCGAGAAAUGGGGUUUCUACAGUCCCUGCUCCCUCACCAGACCUGGGGCCUGCCCCUGCCUGCAUCCCUCCAGAAAUGCAUGGAAGACACACAAAGUGGGGAAAAUCCACGCAGACCCUCCGGAGGGAGGCAGAUGUUAAUCCGAGAAUCGAGAAUCGCACAGAGCGACCCUGGCCACCGAAACUGCCCACGGUUUCCCGACCUUGCCGCUCGUCCGUCUGCUUCCACACGCCGUCCUCGCUACCUGUCCACUCUGCCCUUCAUUCUCUGGUAAGUCCAGCUUGCCCUGUAGACCUGGCCGAGCAGUCCCCUCUGGGGCAGGCCUCUGUCCCCCCCCAUCCCCCAGUCUCCCUCCAUCUGCUAGCCUACGGCCCCGCCCAGCAAGGUGGGCUGUCUGCUCCUCUAAAGUGGGUCCUCAUACCCUGAGGGUACCCCCAGAGGGUCCCCCAGCAUACAGGGUAUCUCCGUCCUCCUACAUGAUCUGAUGGCUCCAGCUAGAUGACUGCAAAUACAUUUAAAACACCUUUUUCCCCCUAAGCGAAAGCAAACAGGGACACCAAUGUGAGAAGAAUAGACACUUGGCAUGCAUCUUUAGGAUGAAAUAUGGAGACUUCAGAGGCAGUCUCGGUCUCGCCGCUCUCUGUCAUGCCCUGAUUCUCCCAGGAGGAUGCAGUCCCUUGCCUCUGCUGACGGGCGACCUGCUAGAGAAGCCUGGGAAGCUCUGGCCUCCGGAAGGCCAUGAUUGAUUUAUUUCUGUCUCCUGCACCAAGCCGGGAGUUCCCAAGGGCAGGAACUAGAUCCGAUUCAUCUGUGGGUCUCCAGUGCCCCAGCAGAGAGCUGAGCACACAACGGAUGCCCUCCGACUAGUAGUAAUGGCAGUAACAGCCCCAUCACAGCCGACACCUAAGAGUGCUAGGGGUGCGCGGGGGCAUCCUAAGUGUUCGACCUACAUAAGCCACGCUCACAACACCCCAUCCUCAUUUUACCAGUGAGGAGCCAGGACAGAGGUUACGGGUCUUCACCAAAGCCACACAGCUAGUGGCUGACAGAGCUACUGUGCGAACUUCGCUGGGUCUGGCGGCGGGGCCCAGCCUCGCAGCACACUGCCCUUUCUAAGUGUUCACUAAAUGAGUGACUAAACGGAUCGCUGCAGUUGCCCACGAUGAUAUUUAAGAAGUCUGUGUAAUAACAACAGAAAUGUACUCUAACUGCAAUAUCAGUGUAAAAAUCAGCAGUGACAUGGUCGAGGUGACUUGACG